UUGCACCCGCUUGACCGGCGCACGGGUGCGUAACGCGUAUGCAAUCUACCUUUUACAGAGGGAUAGCCCAGAGAA
rnacentral:rRNA from 1 species